rnacentral:rRNA from 1 species
GACGAACGCUGGCGGCGUGCUUAACACAUGCAAGUCGAACGGAAAGGCCCUGCUUUUGUGGGGUGCUCGAGUGGCGAACGGGUGAGUAACACGUGAGUAACCUGCCCUUGACUUAGGGAUAACUUCAGGAAACUGGGGCUAAUACCGGAUAGGAGCUCCUGCUGCAUGGUGGGGGAUGGAAAGUUUCGGCGGUUGGGGCUGGACUCGCGGCUGAUCAGCUUGUUGGUGGGGUAGUGGCUUACCAAGGCUUUGACGGGUAGCCGGCCUGAGAGGGUGACCGGCCACAUUGGGCCUGAGAUACGGCCCAGACUCCUACGGGAGGCAGCAGUGGGGAAUAUUGCACAAUGGGCGGAAGCCUGAUGCAGCAACGCCGCGUGCGGGAUGACGGCCUUCGGGUUGUAAACCGCUUUCGCCUGUGACGAAGCGUGAGUGACGGUAAUGGGUAAAGAAGCACCGGCUAACUACGUG